rnacentral:rRNA from 1 species
UUUCCGGUUGAUCCCGCCGGACCUGACUGCUAUCGGAUUGAUACUAAGCCAUGCGAGUCUUUGUAGUAAUACAAGGCAGACGGCUCAGUAACACGUAGUCAACCUACCCUAUGGACAAGAAUAAUCUCGGGAAACUGGGCAUAAUUCUUGAUAGAUCAUAAUGCCUGGAAUGGUUUAUGGUUAAAAUGAUUCGUCGCCAUAGGAUGGGACUGCGGCCUAUCAGCUUGUUGGUGAGGUAAUGGCCCACCAAGGCGAUUACAGGUACGGGCUCUGAGAGGAGAAGCCCGGAGAUGGGUACUGAGACACGGACCCAGGCCCUAUGGGGCGCAGCAGGCGAGAAAACUUUGCAAUGUGCGAAAGCACGACAAGGUUAAUCCGAGUGAUUUCUGCUAAAGAAAUCUUUUGCCAGUCAUAAAACCACUGGUGAAUAAGGGGUGGGCAAGUUCUGGUGUCAGCCGCCGCGGUAAAACCAGCACCUCAAGUGGUCAGGAUGAUUAUUGGGCCUAAAGCAUCCGUAGCCGGCUUUGUAAGUUUUCGGUUAAAUCCAUGUGCUCAACGCAUGGGCUGCCGAAAAUACUGCAUGGCUAGGGAGUGGGAGAGGUAGACGGUACUCAGUAGGAAGGGGUAAAAUCCUUUGAUCUAUUGAUGACCACCUGUGGCGAAGGCGGUCUACCAGAACACGUUCGACGGUGAGGGAUGAAAGCUGGGGGAGCAAACCGGAUUAGAUACCCGGGUAGUCCCAGCUGUAAACGAUGCAGACUCGAUGAUGCAUUGGCAUAAUAGCCAGUGCAGUGUCGCAGGGAAGCCGUUAAGUCUGCCGCCUGGGAAGUACGUACGCAAGUAUGAAACUUAAAGGAAUUGGCGGGGGAGCACCACAAGGGGUGAAGCCUGCGGUUCAAUUGGAGUCAACGCCGGGA